AAAAUUUUAAUAUUCGAUGAUCUCCAUAAUCUUAUUCAAUUUAAGUAAUCUUAUUCAAUCACAUUAACAUGCCUCUCAAAUUAAUGUUGGUAAAAGUAUCAAUUUACAAUCAUGAACGAACGACAAUGACAAUACUCGUGCCCAUGAAGAAGAGACCCAAAUCACAGCAGAAACAACCAAGAACCACUCCAAGAACACUUCAAAGAGCUCAUAUCCCAAGAAGAAUUUUCAAAAUAAAUUCACAAAGUGUACCGACCUCACACAAUGAGCUCUAUCAGUCGAACAUAGAAUUUGCAUUCCAACGAAAGCUCUAACGAUCAAUUCACCGAUGAAAAGUUCAGCAAUAUAUUGCUGACCAAGAUGCUGCAGUUGGAAGAAAUCCAACCGAACAACCUACACCAAAAACUCAAAGAUCAUCCCUCCACUAGGAAUCCAAAACCACUCAAGGUUGACCUCUCAUGAGAAUCUAAAUCUUUAGCUCAUCAUUUAGCAUCAAUUUGUUUACAUGAAACUGAUGUAAAAAAGAACUCAAAGGUCCAACUCCAAUGGGCAAACCCCAAAAAUAACCUCACACACAUGCUACAGUCCAUCCUUCUUCUACUAUUCAUUAAGACCUCCAACAACAGCCGAAUAUACCAAAUCAACCCAUUACCAGGCCCAAAUACUAAAUCUGAAAGUUAAAAUCUCCAGCAACAGUCUAAUAUACCAAAUUGAACCAUAAUAAGGCCCAAACACCAAAUCCAAUAGUACUAAAACCAUGAACCUACACAUAACUACAAACUCGACAUAAAUUACAUCAUCUCCAUCUCCCAAACGCUAAACCAUUGUCGCUAUGGGUUUUUCUCCACGCCAACAAUGCCUCAUCCAAUCGGCAACCUAAUCUCUUUGUCUCUGGCAUUGCCUCCAUCCAGGCUCGGCUUGGCAGUAUCUUGAGAAUUUCCCUUCUCUCUAUUUCUUUGUCCCUUCUCUCUAUUUCUUUGCAAUUUUUGAACCCUUUUCAUAUUAGGGUAAUUUUGAGAUUCAUUUAUCUAUGCUUGCUUUGAAACUAGACCAAGUGAUUGAAGGCAUCAGAAGUGCAUAGUAGAUUCAAGGGAAUGGCGCCAAGAGAGCCGUUGCUGCGGUAAAUUAGUUGAAGAGCUUAGCAGCUUCGAUAGAGAUAUCGCCUUUACCGACACCGACCGUGCCGACAUCUUCAUCUGCUUGUUAUGUUAUUUUAUCUAUAUCAGUCUAUUGAUCGCAGAGUAAUUUAGGGCUUUAGGGUUUAAAGAAAAUGCGCCAUUGGAGAACUAAAGAGUACUCUUUCUCUUCUCUCCGUCUAUUUCAAUUUUGAUAAAUGGGAGUGAAAGAGGACGAUUUUGCUUUUCUGAACGAUUUACAAUAAUGGAGGUUGAAAGUCUCAAUAUGUUGAAACGUGAACAAGAAAAAGAAACCAUUAACUCAAUUCGACGAAGACCAAGCGGAAGGAGCAAAACCUCAUCUUGCUGUGAGAAAACCGAACCAAGAAAACGAGAAAAAAUUCUAAGAAAGAGGCUCUAAUACCAUGUCAAGUAUGAUAUUCAAUAAGACUUGAUGCCUCACAAUGUGAAAUGUUCUCAUUGUAUAGAACCAAAUCAUAACUAAAUAUGGUAAAAAUAAUCUAUCUAUUUGUCAUAAUCUUCGACUAUUUCCAUAAUCUUAUUCAAUCUCCACAAUCUUCAAUCUCAUUAACACUUUGAGACUAGUUUACUUAGGAUCAUGUUACAUAUUUCCCGCACCAUUACUUCUACAACUUAAGUUCUUCUAGAAGUCUUUGUACUAGUGAAUUAUAGUUCCUAUUUGGUGCAAAUUAAAAUAAAGAUUUUAAUUUAAGUCAAAGUCAAUAACUAAUUUUAACUGCACCUUUAUGGGAUCCACAACUUUACAACCAUACAUUUCAACAAUUUUUAUCAAAAUCUACUAAAAAACUAAUUUUAAUCCCCACCAAACGUGGGCAUAAUUUAUUUAUCAAUAUGGGAUCAACUUACAAUGUCUCAUUACUAUUUCAUUUUAAUCCCCACCAAACGUGGGCAUAAUUUAUUUAUCAAUAUGGGGUCAACUUACAAUGUCUCAUUAUUAUUUCAUUGCAGUUCAUUGCUUCUUUCUAUCAACACAUCGUGGUUCAGAGAUGAGUAUCUCUUUCUCUCUCUCUCUCUAGUGUGCAUGAGCCUACAUGCAUUCCCAUCUACGGUAUAAAUAUGCAUACAAGAAUGCACAAAAGAAUAUAUAUUGAAGAUAGGGACAUAUGGUUGUUUGAAAAACUGAUAUAAUGGGGAAAGAUUGUACUAAAAUCAACAUUACUGACAAAUAUUAACUUCUGUGGACCUAGGUGAAAAGUCCACUUGAAGAAAAUGAAAUGGUUGGAAUCACUAAUUACAUUGACUUUGGCUUUGAGUUACAGACAAGGUAUUUUCAUAUGUUAAAUAUCGCAUACAUUGAUAUCAUAUAAAGUGGUGGAAUCCGACUUCAUUUUAUACUUUUCGUGAAGUAUUGACGAUGAAAAGUCAUUAAAUAAUAUUCAAGAGUCCACUUUUCAAGUGGCUGCAUCUUGGCAAGCCAAUAAAAACUUCUUACUGAAGGUAACACAAUUUUGAUAAUGUUUCUAAUCAUUUAGUUUGUGAUAGUAUUAUUUGUGAAGCAAUUAAGUUUAAGACAUCAAUGUGUCAAUUUUGCAGGGAAAUUCAUCAAUAGCUUUAGCAUUUAAAUCAUGGUGGAAACCUUCUUUCAUUUUCAGCAUGUCAGGUAUCUGAUAUGUGUGUCCCCUCGUUCUUAAGAGAUUUAGCUACAAAAUUCUAUGCCUCAAAAUUCGCUGUAUAAUAUCGAGCAUUUUAUAAUAGCUUGUUGUUUAAUCUUCAAAUAUUGCUCAUUAGUAGUAAACUUGCACAUUUGUCUAUAUCUCUGAACAAGUUAUGCUAUCACUGCUUUCGUUUUUUUCAUCGUUGAAGUAGAAUAAUUUUUAGGACAGACAGUGUUGUUCGAGACCUUGAGAGCAUGUGUUAUAUGCAUUAGUAGAAAGGAUUGGACAAUACAAUAUACUAGAUUUAGUUUAUUUUUCUUAUUUAGCCCCUAUUUGUUUUUCAUUGUUUCUAUAUUAAAAUGAAAAAUAUGACCGUUAUCCAUCACAUCAAACCAUCAAAUUUGAAUUUUGAUCUCUUGUGUGGGGCCUAUAACGGCUAUAUUUUUCAUUCUCAUUUUUACAAAAAUGGAAAACAAACGCUCCUUUAAUAUUGUUGAUUUUUUUUUUUUUUAAUUUUAUUCGAUCCACCUUAUGAAACAUGUCAUAACAAUGUAGAAUUGAGGAUGAAGAUAUUGAUUCCCGUUUUGUUGUUUCUCUAUCAUUCUUUGCCCCUCAUUCUCUGUUUAUAUAAUUUAUCUCAUUCUUCAACCAUUAAUUUCACUGGCUUACAACUGUCAGAGAUCGGACAAAACGAGGGACAUCAUUUGGAUUUGGUGUUCGUGUCGAUAACAUUAGGGAAGUAAGGUUGGAUACAUUUCCCUGUAUGCCUUCUCGAUACGAUUUUAUAAGCCCACGGAGGCUCCACCUUUGUAUUGCCAUUCUACAUCCAUGGAAAUUUGAUAUCAUCGCUUCCCUGAUUGUAGUUAUCAAAGGACAGACCCAAAUUUCGUUAUGUUGACCCCAAACAAGGAGCAUCUAGCUGAGGGCAUAUGCUGGAAAAUUAAGAAAAGACGAGUGCUCCCAUUUGAUGUAAAUUCUGGAAAUUUUGAUGGCAUGCCCAGGGAAUUGAGACCCUUGGCCAAAAUUUUGAAACCUUUUGGCAAUUUUGCUUUUGUUUGAUGGAAAAAUGAUCUACUAAGUAUCGAUGCUUAACUUAUAUUAAAAUCGGUGACAUUGAACAUCAAUUCAUCCUUAAAAUUCAAAUUUAAUUUAAAUA
rnacentral:lncRNA from 1 species